AGGUGCGAUCAUUCCAGCACUAAUGCAUUGGAUCCCAUCAGAACUCCGAAGUUAAGCAUGCUUGGGUGAGAAUAGUAUUAAGAUGGGCAUUGUCACAGGAUUUUCACAGACAAAGGCAAGAC
rnacentral:rRNA from 1 species